CCCGGUGAUGGCAUCACCACGAGAGUGGAUAUGGUUCUGGCCAACUCCAUGGACCCACAGGGAUCAGGGGGCUGCAAUCACUGCCACUGCUCUGCCAGCUGUAAGAGUAGGAGCCUCAAAAAAACAGGAAUAUGAAUGGAUCCCGAGAGGGGGAAGAGGGUGAGCAGCACAGGCAUGAAACUCUGCAAGCUGUGAAUUGAGAAAUCUGUCACAGAAAUGAAAGUACCCCAGGAAGGGAUAAAGUGAGAAAGAUGCAUUUCUUCUUCUUCUUUGUGCACCUUGUACAAGAGGACCGACUGUCUUGCUGAGGCAAUGAAGGAAAGAGCAGAGAUAAACAGGAGCAGGACAUAAGGAAAAUGAAAGGCAGGAGCCAGCAUUACAAAGCCAUUGGAGGAUGGCAUAAAAGAGGCCAUAUGUGCAGGCAAUCACAGAGGAUAAGGGGGAACACCUGUUUUUCCAUCAAUUACAGCCUGUGAGCUCGCGGGGCAUAUUUAUUCUGGGGGCAUUACAUUUGCUUGGGUAAUAGCCCAUGACACAUUUCCAGUUUUACAGCAGACAAGCCCUGGGAAGGAGCUAAUCAUGUCUGUACAAAUGAAACACAAACAUGCCCUCCUGGCCAUACACGUGGUUGAACAGGGGCCCCAGUGACACCAGGAGCCACCCGGGGCCAGCAGGAAGCACUUGGGGAACAACCUGGAUGGGUCUGUUUGCUCUACAAAGCCAACCCGAGCAAAAAAGCCCUGGGAAAAGGCAUAGGUGGGACUGUAGGAGAGGUGGAUGCCCUCAGGGAAAUGGUAAUAAUCUCCCUACUAGGUAAGGACAAAGUCCAACUCAAGUGUUUUACUGAUGGCAAUAGAAAGAGGUAUUACUGCGUAUUACUGGAGCUUGCAUUUAUUUUUUUUAAUCUUGAUAGAAGUG